AGGAGGGGAGCCACCCUGUCAGGGAGACCACAGAAUCGCAGCCAAAGGGAAAGGUGAGAAAGCAGUCAUCAGACCCCAAGAGUGCAGGGCAACAACCCACAUGGCUCUUCCCGAAGUGCAGGAAGUUCCACGCCCAGACCAGGAGCAAGUCGCACCUCGAAACCUCCUCAAAGCCAGCUCCGGAUGCGUAACAGCGGCAGUCUCCACAUGUUUGAGGACCAAGUCCUCUGUCCCGUUUGCCUAGAGGUGUUCCAAGACCCAGUUACCACCGGCUGCAGCCACAACUUCUGCAUGACCUGCCUCCAAUGGGGGAGACGCACCAUUGUCCUCAGUGCAAGGAGAUCUUCCCCUCCAGGCCCGGGCUCUGCAAGCACAUCAUCCUGGGGACGUGGUGGCCUGCAUCACCCAUGCCAAAGGCCAAGCGUCAGGGCCCUCAUGGGACCUGGCAAGGCCCAGGGAUAUGCCGUGUAACUUCUGUGUGCCCCAGAAACUCCGUUCCGUCAAGUCGUACCUGAAGUGCAUGGCCUCUGUUCGAGAAGCACCUGCCUAGCACUGUGAGGACCAGGUGUUCCGGGACCACCAGCUGCUGGAGCCCAUGUGGGAUCUCAAGACCCAUUUGUGCCGGCAGCACCACUAGCUGCGGAGGCUGUACUGGCCACGGAAGGCUGCAGCAUGUGCAGAGGCUGCCUGCUGGAGGAGCACAAGAACCAUGACACCACCCCACUGGAGGAGGAGCGUCUCUGCAUGGAGUCCCACCUACUUAGGAGGCCGAGGCAGGAAGCUCUUGAGUUCGCAAGUCUGGGCAACAGAAGCAACAUAGCAACACCGUGGCUCAAAACAAACCAAAAUUAUGCAGCUGUCAAAGCGAUUGGCACCAGAGUCAUGACAUGACAUGGAAAAGCACAGAUGAGUUCAGGGAAUAAGGAUGCAGAGUUGUAUGUAGGAAGUCAAUGUUAUCAAAGUACAAACACAUCAGAUUGGGGGGGUAAAUCCUUCCCCCCCUCUGUCUCUACUUUCAGAUUUUGUUUAAUAUAUUUGUAUUCCUUUUCUUCUUUCUUUUUUUUUCUUUUUUUUUUUUU
rnacentral:lncRNA from 1 species